rnacentral:lncRNA from 1 species
GAGGGGACUGGGAGGGGUUACAGGGGGUUAUGGAGGGGUUAUAGGGGGACUGGGGGGGACUGGGAGGGACUGGGAGGGGGGAAAAGGGGAACUGGGAGGGACUGGGAGGGACUGGGGGGAACUGGGAGGGACUGGGAGGGACUGGGGGGGAAUGGGAGGGGGUUAUAAGGAAGUGAGAGGGGACUGGGGGGGAAGGGGGGGGACUGGGGGCGUGAGGGGGGAACUGGGGGGACUGGGGGGGACUGGGAGGGGUUACGGGGGGUAUAGGGGCGUAAGGGAGGGGUUAUAGGGGGUUAUAGGGGGACUGGGAGGGACUGGAGGGGGGUGUGGGGGGGACUGGGAGGGGGGUAUAGGUACUGGGACACUGCCAGUGUGUCCCAGCACUUCCCAGUGCCUCCCAAUACUACCCAGUGCCUCCCAGUGCCUCACUACCCAUAAUUGGGAUGCCCUUAGUACCCAUAAUGAGACACCCCAGUGCCUCCCAGUGCUCCCAGUACCCCUGAUAUCCGUAACUGGGACUCCCUCAGUGCUCCCAGUACCUCCCAGUACCCGACUAACCCUAACUGGGAUGCUUUUAGUGCCCAUAAGGGACCUCACAGAGCCCCCCAGCGCCUCCCAGUGCCUCCCAGUGCUCCCAGUACCCCUAACUGGGAUACCCCAGAACUCUUAGUGGGACACUCCCAGCGCCUCCCAGCACCUCCCAGUACCUCCCAGUGCCUCCCAGCGCCUCCCAGUGCCCCCAGUUCAUACUGGUGUCCCCCCCCCAGGCGUUCCACUGGUGGCGUUUGUGCUGCUGGUGCCGGGGGCGCUGCUGGGGACACCGGGGGCGGUGUGGUGGCUAGGACUGGGGCUGCCCCAGUGCUCCCAGUGCCUCCCAGUGCUCCCAGUACCCCUAACUGGGAUACCCCAGAACUCUUAAUGGGACACUCCCAGCGCCUCCCAGCACCUCCCAGUACCUCCCAGUGCCUCCCAGCGCCUCCCA